rnacentral:rRNA from 1 species
GAUGAACGCUGGCGGCGUGCCUAAUACAUGCAAGUCGAGCGAACAGACGAGGAGCUUGCUCCUCUGACGUUAGCGGCGGACGGGUGAGUAACACGUGGAUAACCUACCUAUAAGACUGGGAUAACUUCGAGAAACCGGAGCUAAUACCGGAUAAUAUAUUGAACCGCAUGGUUCAAUAGUGAAAGACGGUUUUGCUGUCACUUAUAGAUGGAUCCGCGCCGCAUUAGCUAGUUGGUAAGGUAACGGCUUACCAAGGCAACGAUGCGUAGCCGACAUGAGAGGGUGAUCGGCCACACUGGAACUGAGACACGGUCCAGUCUCCUACGGGAGGCAGCAGUAGGGAAUCUUCCGCAAUGGGCGAAAGCCUGACGGAGACACGCCGCGUGAGUGAUGAAGGUCUUCGGAUCGUAAAACUCUGUUAUUCGGGAAGAACAAAUGCGUAAGUAACUAUGCACGUCUUGACGGUACCUAAUCAGACAGCCACGGCUAACUACGUG